AUUGAACGCUGGCGGCAGGCUUAACACAUGCAAGUCGAACGAGUGGCGGACGGGUGAGUAAUGCUUGGGAAUCUAGCUUAUGGAGGGGGAUAACUACGGGAAAAUGUAGCUAAUACCGCGUAACAUCGGCUGUGCCAAGAUGGGAUUGGCGAGUAGGUGGGGUAACGGUGCACCGAGGCGACGCGCUCUAGCUGGUCUGAGAGGAUGACCAGCCACACUGGGACUGGGACACGGCCCAGAAUCCUACGGUAGGCAGCAGUGGGGAAUAUUGCUCAGUGGGGGCAACCUGACGCAGCCAUGCCGCGUGAAUGAAGAAGGCCUUCGGGUUGUAAAGUUCUUUCGGUAGCGAGGCGUUAACUACAGAAGAAGCACCGGCUAACUCCGUGCCAGCAGCCGCGGUAAUUC
rnacentral:rRNA from 1 species